AUUGAACGCUGGCGGCAUGCCUUACACAUGCAAGUCGAACGGUAACGGGCCUUCGGGUGCCGACGAGUGGCGAACGGGUGAGUAAUACAUCGGAACGUGCCCGAUCGUGGGGGAUAACGAGGCGAAAGCUUUGCUAAUACCGCAUACGAUCUACGGAUGAAAGCAGGGGACCGCAAGGCCUUGCGCGGACGGAGCGGCCGAUGGCAGAUUAGGUAGUUGGUGGGAUAAAAGCUUACCAAGCCGACGAUCUGUAGCUGGUCUGAGAGGAUGAUCAGCCACACUGGGACUGAGACACGGCCCAGACUCCUACGGGAGGCAGCAGUGGGGAAUUUUGGACAAUGGGCGCAAGCCUGAUCCAGCCAUGUCGCGUGCAGGAUGAAGGCCUUCGGGUUGUAAACUGCUUUUGUACGGAACGAAAAGCCUUCUUUUAAUACAGGAGGGUCAUGACGGUACCGUAAGAAUAAGCACCGGCUAACUACGUG
rnacentral:rRNA from 1 species